UACGAAGGGUGCAAGCGUUAAUCGGAAUAACUGGGCGUAAAGCGCGCGUAGGUGGUUUGUCAAGUUGGAUGUGAAAUCCCCGGGCUCAACCUGGGAACUGCAUCCAAAACUGACUGACUAGAGUACGGUAGAGGUUAGUGGAAUUUCCUGUGUAGCGGUGAAAUGCGUAGAUAUAGGAAGGAACACCAGUGGCGAAGGCGACUAACUGGACUGAUACUGACACUGAGGUGCGAAAGCGUGGGGAGCAAAC
rnacentral:rRNA from 1 species